rfam:Candidatus Kaiserbacteria bacterium RIFCSPHIGHO2_02_FTLL_55_25 rifcsphigho2_02_scaffold_27082, whole genome shotgun sequence.
GGCCUGAUGGUGAAGGGGUAACACGUCGAUCUGCAAAAUCGAUACGCGCGGGUUCGAGUCCCGCUCA